rnacentral:rRNA from 1 species
UACGUAGGGAGCGAGCGUUGUCCGGAAUUACUGGGUGUAAAGGGUGCGCAGGCGGGAGUGCAAGUUGGAUGUGAAAUGCCGGGGCUCAACCCCGGAGCUGCAUCCAAAACUGCAGUUCUUGAGUGAAGUAGAGGCAGGCGGAAUUCCGAGUGUAGCGGUGAAAUGCGUAGAUAUUCGGAGGAACACCAGUGGCGAAGGCGGCCUGCUGGGCUUUAACUGACGCUGAGGCACGAAAGCAUGGGGAGCAAACAGG